UACGUAGGGUCCAAGCGUUAUCCGGAAUUACUGGGCGUAAAGAGUUGCGUAGGUGGCAUUGUAAGCGAGUAGUGAAAGCGUUCGGCUCAACCGGAUACACAUUAUUCGAACUGCAAAGCUAGAGGAUGAGAGAGGUUAUUGGAAUUCCCAGUGUAGGAGUGAAAUCCGUAGAUAUUGGGAGGAACACCGAUGGCGUAGGCAGAUAACUGGCUCAUUCCUGACACUAAGGCACGAAAGCGUGGGGAGCGAACGGG
rnacentral:rRNA from 1 species